rnacentral:tRNA from 1 species
GCACCAUUGGCUCAACUGGAUAGAGCACCUGACUUCGGAUCAGGGGGAUGAGGGUUCGAAUCCUUCAUGGUGCG